AUAGCGUAUACUAAAGUUGUUGCAGUUAAAAAGCUCGUAGUUGAAUUUCUGGUCUUGGACAUCGGUCUGCCUCGAACGAGGUACGUACCAGUUGUCUGAAUCCAUCCUCGGGGAAAACGUAUCUGUCAUUCAGUUGAUGGGUACGGGAUCCUCGUCAUUUAUUGUGAGCAAAAUAGAGUGUUCAAAGCAGGCUUAUGCCGUUGAAUACAUUAGCAUGGAAUAAUAAGAUAAGACCUUGGUCUAUUUUGUUGGUUUGUACUCCAAGGUAAUGAUUAAUAGGGAUAGUUGGGGGUAUUCGUAUUCAAUUGUCAGAGGUGAAAUUCUUGGAUUUAUGGAAGACGAACUACUG
rnacentral:rRNA from 1 species